rnacentral:sRNA from 1 species
GGAGCUGCGGGGUUACCAUGGGAACCGAACCGCCGCGCCUCGCCCAGGACAGUUACACUUAGAGGCCUUCAAAAGAGGGAGAAUGCCCUCCCGAUAAGAACCCAUGCAAAGAGCUGUGCCAGGGCGACGAAUUGUGUCCGGCUGAACAGAAGUGCUGCACCACAGGCUGUGGUCGGAUCUGCCGAGACAUUCCUAAGGGGAGGAAAAGAGAUUGCCCUAGGGUUAUUCGGAAACAAUCCUGUUUGAAAAGGUGCAUCACUGAUGAGACAUGUCCAGGUGUAAAGAAAUGCUGCACGCUUGGCUGCAACAAGAGCUGUGUAGUCCCAAUCUCUAAACAGAAGCUGGGGCGGGGCGGUGAUUGUCCAAAAGUUCUGGUGGGCCUGUGCAUUGUUGGCUGUGUGAUGGAUGAGAAUUGUCAAGCUGGAGAAAAAUGUUGCAAGUCAGGCUGUGGCCGCUUCUGUGUCCCACCAGUACUGCCCCCAAAACUGACCAUGAACCCCAACUGGACUGUGAGGUCUGAUUCCGAAUUAGAGAUCCCGGUGCCCUAGCUGUGCUGAUUUGUCUGGAGCUUCUUUGGUAAUUCUGGAAGCUUUUCCUGGCAGUCAAGAGAGGGUGACAUCCUGGGGCUUGUGACAUUUCCAGGGGCACUCAUGGCCCUCUCUGCGCUGCUUCUCCUCCUGCCGCUGACCAGAGCAUGGGAAAUAGCCCUGGAUUGGGCAGUGGGUGUGUGGUGCUUCUCUUUCCCAAUAAAGGCUGGUGCUGA